GAUGUGAGCUUGAGAAAAUCAGAACUCUUGCAAGCAAAAAGCAAGCUGGGCUUCAAGCGCCUGCCUUGGGACUCCCCAGCAUUUCUUUGAAAUGGUAACAUGAGGGGAAAGCGGAAUAAAAAGGGAAGGGCGUGUGAUAAUGCAGAAGGGGAUGAGCAUGUCAGGAGAUUUCUGAUGAGCCUGGUACAGUGCAUUGCCCAGACUGUCAAAACGUGUACCAGUAAAUGGGCAACAGAGCUAAGAUAUGGAACUGGAUAAUCAAGUCGUGGAUGGGGCUACGGGGAUUGCCCAUUCCUGGCUGAGAAGUUGGCAGUUUCUGUUUUGUAUUAGCAAAGAAGUUGGUUAAAGUGUCACCCAUGGCAUUUUUGGACCAAGACCUCAUGUCUACUGAAGCCGAAGCUUUGGGGGAACUGAGGAAUCCCUUCAGCAGCAGACGGCUCCAUGUGAUUCAGUGAAGGCGCACAAGCUGCUCUCCAACCGCCGUGGCUUCUUUCCUGUUCUGGUUAUUUUGCCAGUUUCACCACACCACACUCGGAGCAGUUUCCCAGAGAGCGUGGGUGUUAAUGAUCAGGAGGAACAGAGUUCUGUGAUCAAGUGAAUUUUGG
rnacentral:lncRNA from 1 species